rnacentral:snoRNA from 1 species
AUCUUAUGAUGAUCAAAGGUUUUUAUCAAACAGUUCUGCUUCUGAUAUCCCUUGAAGAAAGCAUUACCAAGCUUACCAUAUUGUCUGACUU